UUGGUUAGUAAUGAUCUUAUCAUAUAUGCAAAAUAGUGUUUUAAAUGUUAUUUUCAUUUAUUUUGAUAACUAACCAUGAUAAGUAUAUACAUGAAUCUGCAGAAGCACCAGCAAUGGUGGAAGCACAGAAGUUUUGCGAGAGGUCAAGUGGGACUUGGUCCGGAGUCUGUGGAAACAACGGCGCUUGCAGGAAUCAGUGCAUUAACCUUGAAAGAGCACACCAUGGAUCUUGCAACUAUCGAUUCCCAUACCACAGAUGUAUCUGUUAUUUCCCAUGUUAAUCAACCAAACAUCUUUGGUUGUUAAACGUGUGUGUAUUUUACAUAAAAUAAGUCUCGGUUACUCUAUGAGUGACUUUUAUGACAUGCAUGUUUAUGUUUUAAUGUUUGGUGUGACUUUGUUGUUAUAAUAAUAUAAAAUAUUUCUUCUUGGUUUAAUUUGUCUUCACACGCGCGGUCAUUGUUUUCAAAAGGACUAAUUACUUCUCCUAGAGGUACCCUAACAGCAUCACGAGUUUCAAGUUGAGAAUAAGAAACGUAGUGGUGUAUUCAGUAAUGAAAUAUAUAUAUGUAAUCCGACUCGAUUCCUAGUUUGUGAUAUAAGAAAAAACUUGUGGGUAAAUGAAAAUGAUCCACGAAACUAUGAAUUGUCCAAUUUCAUGCAUGAUCGAUUUAUAAUAUGUUAAAAACUUUUAUCUACAAGUUUUUGUAGGAAGUUCAUGUCAAAUGAUUAAUAGAGUUAUAAGUCAAUAGAUUUUGCCCGAUUUACUAUAUUCGCGUUGCAAGAAUGAAAUAGUAUUUAUGUGUUAAAUUUCGGUAAAAAAAAAUGAUUUUGAACUUAAAAGCUUGUGUUUCAAACAAAAGGUUUCGAUUUCAAGUCUUGAUCUAGAUUUCGGGUCAAAUUAAAGUUGUUUUGGUUUAAAUUUUAAUUUUAAUCGCGUAAUUGACUAUAAUUAUCUAUAAGCAGAAAACACCAACAAUGUUUGAAGCACACAAGUUGUGAAGUUGUGCGAGAGAAGCCAAGUUGAACAGUCAUAUAAACAACAAUGCAACAAAAAUAAGUGCAUUAAGAAAUAAAAUAAACAAUAAUGUAUUUUCAUAAAGCUAAUAAGUAUUGUCACUCAAUGAAGGAGUGUAUAUAUUACAUGUAUUUAUUAUGUUUAUGUUGGCUUGUUUUAAUUGUAUUUUUUUUUUUUUGGUAAUAGAUAGGAGACAAAGGUCUCCUACUCUUUAUUAAGUUCAACCCCAAAUGUAUCCUCCGACAAAACUGAAGUACACUCGUUCGGGCAUAAAUCUAAAACUUUAAAACCAAGCGGUAAUGAGAACGCAUAAAUCUAAAAAUUGUUUUAGUUGUAUUUUACUACUGUUUUAUCUUCUUAUCUAUAUUUGUUUGCAUGUAUUGUCCAUAAUAAGAACUACCCACAAUAUAGAGAGCAGUUAGCCUAUGUAUUUGUUUAUCCGAUGCUUUUGGCAAAUUAAAGGUAUUUAUUCGACAAAGUACAGACUACAAAUUAGGACACUUUCUCUAACUGUGGACAUAGAUUCACCAAGGGUUGAGACAACCAUUUCCAGCACCAUCAGGUCGAUUAAGAAGAACCAUUAAUUAACUUUGUUUUGAAAUGAGAUAUAGUUGAAAUUGAUUAGGAUUUUAAGUUAUGCGGUCUAAUGAACGAAUACACUUCUUAAGAAACUUAGGGGGUGUACUGGAAGACGGAUUUGAGAAGAUUUCGGUUUUUUCUUAACUCGCUCAUCAGACGAUUCUUCAUAAGAUAAACAGGCGACAAUGACAUCUUAUUAUUGAAGUGAGGAUAUUUUCUUGCUAUUCAAGCAAAUGACCAAUUAUAGUAUCAUUGGUCCCGUUUACUCCUAGUUCUAUGCUCAUGUAACGAACGGUCUGAAAAUUUCUGACAAAUCAUAACUACUUGUGUAACUCGGUUUGGUUAAAAUUUUAAAAUCUUAUUUUCUUGAGUGGUGACCAAAUCAGAUUGACCAGCGCUGCCAAAGUGAACAAUGAAUAUGUAGCAUUAACUCAAAUCCAGUGCAUUCAGUUUAGAUAUUAUCAAAGAAAAUAUGUGGUGGAGAAACCAGCCAUCAAAUAUGAAUAAGCCACGAUCUUAUUAAUAUCAACUAGCUAUACUAGCUAGAAGACACUGCGUGAUUAAUUUGUGGGGUUACGAUCCGUAAUAAUACGAUGCAAAAAUAGCAGACUAACUCACCACUAUUUCAUUAUAAAUAGAGGCUGGUCUUAAGCUUAUUUCAUCACACAAUACAUACAUACAUACAUACAUCUAAAACAAAGUAGUAAAAAUCAUCAUGGCUAAGUUUGCUUCCAUCAUCACCCUUAUCUUCGCUGCUCUUGUUCUCUUUGCUGCCUUUGGUUAGUAAUGAUCUUAUCAUAUAUGCAAAAUAGUGUUUUAAAUGUUAUUUUCAUUUAUUUUGAUAACUAACCAUGAUAAGUAUAUACAUGAAUCUGCAGAAGCACCAGCAAUGGUGGAAGCACAGAAGUUUUGCGAGAGGUCAAGUGGGACUUGGUCCGGAGUCUGUGGAAACAACGGCGCUUGCAGGAAUCAGUGCAUUAACCUUGAAAGAGCACACCAUGGAUCUUGCAACUAUCGAUUCCCAUACCACAGAUGUAUCUGUUACUUCCCAUGUUAAUCAACCAAACAUCUUUGGUGGUUAAUCACGUGUGUAUUUUACAUAAAAUAAGUCUGUGUUACUCUAUGAGUGACUUUUAUGACAUGCAUGUUUAUGUUUUAAUGUUUGGUUGGACUUUGUUGUUAUUAUGAUAUAUAGAUAUAUAAAUUUAAAGUACUAUUGUGUAAGUAAUAUAUACAUUUAAACUAUUGUGUAGUGAUCCCCCGACAAAAUUAUAUACGAAAAUUUUCCAAUUAAAUGAACAUAAAAUAUGUCAAAAUAAAAGUUUAAACAGGAA
rnacentral:lncRNA from 1 species